rnacentral:siRNA from 1 species
UCGGGUCAUAUGGUACAUUCCCCU